CCGGACACCGGAAAGAUUGACAGAUUGAGAGCUCUUUCUUGAUUCGGUGGGUGGUGGUGCAUGGCCGUUCUUAGUUGGUGGAGCGAUCUGUCUGGUUAAUUCCGAUAACGAACGAGACUCUGUCCUGCUAACUAGGCGGGUAAACCCGGGUCGGCGUGUGCGCGGCGCUGGCGGUUUCGGCCGUCAGUGUUCGCGUACCUGUCGGCUCGGCCCGGUAUCCCCGAACGCGUUCGCCCGUCGUCCACGGCGGUCGUCGGGCGCGGCCGCGCCAUCCGCGUCCCGGCGUUCGGCGGGCGUAUGUCGGCCGGGGGGCAACCUCCGGUCGGCCUGCGUCCGUCGUGCGUCGGGCUCCGUGGUGAAGCGCGCCGUGUUCGCGGCCGUCGCCGGCGGAUCACGAUACGUUACUAGGGCUACCGCCGGCUCCCAGGAGCUUAAACUCUUCUUAGAGGGACAGGCGGCGGACGAACAUAGCCGCACGAGACUGAGCGAUAACAGGUCUGUGAUGCCCUUAGAUGUUCUGGGCCGCACGCGCGCUACACUGAAGGAAUCAGCGUGUUUAACAAUCCUGGGCCGACAGGCUUCCGGGUAACCCGCUGAACCUCCUUCGUGCUUAGGGAUCGUGGCUUGCAAUUUUUCCACGUGAACGAGGAAUUCCCAGUAAGCGCGAGUCAUCAGCUCGCGUUGAUUACGUCCCUGCCCUUUGUACACACCGCCCGUCGCUACUACCGAUUGAACGGUCGCAUUGAGGUCUUCGGAGUGGACGCGCGUUAUUCGGCCCCCUCGGGGGCUGGGUCGUCGCGCGAUCGCGAAGAUGACCGAAAUCGGCCGUUUAGAGGAAGUAAAAGUCGUAACAAGGUUUCC
rfam:Acyrthosiphon pisum strain LSR1 Contig817, whole genome shotgun sequence.